rnacentral:piRNA from 1 species
UUCUAAGUGUCUAUGAGCUUGCACCA